rnacentral:rRNA from 1 species
CAGCAGCCACGGGAAUACGUAGGUGGCAAGCGUUGUCCGGAAUUAUUGGGCGUAAAGGGCUCGCAGGCGGUUCCUUAAGUCUGAUGUGAAAGCCCCCGGCUCAACCGGGGAGGGUCAUUGGAAACUGGGAAACUUGAGUGCAGAAGAGGAGAGUGGAAUUCCACGUGUAGCGGUGAAAUGCGUAGAGAUGUGGAGGAACACCAGUGGCGAAGGCGACUCUCUGGUCUGUAACUGACGCUGAGGAGCGAAAGCGUGGGGAGCGAACAGGAUUAGAUACCCCUGUAGUCCCUGUCUCUUAUAC